rnacentral:rRNA from 1 species
GACGAACGCUGGCGGCAAGCCUAACACAUGCAAGUCGAACGAGAAAGCUCUUCGGAGUGAGUAUAGUGGCGCACGGGUGAGUAACGCGUGGGAAUGUACCCUUUAGUACGGAAUAGCCCCGGGAAACUGGGAUUAAUACCGUAUACGCCCUUCGGGGGAAAGAUUUAUCGCUAAAGGAUCAGCCCGCGUCGGAUUAGUUUGUUGGUGGGGUAAUGGCCUACCAAAACGAUGAUCUGUAGCUGAUUUGAGAGGAUGAUCAGCCACACUGGAACUGAGACACGGUCCAG